ACCCUGUCCCUCACCUGCACAGUCUCUGGUGACUCCAUCACAACCAGUAGUUAUGACUGGAGCUGGAUCGGCCAGCUCUCAGGGAAGGGGCUGGAGUGGAUACCACACCUCCAUCACCAGGGACACAUCCAAGAACCAGUUUUUCCUGCAGCUGAGCUCUGUGACAGAUGAGGACACAGGCGUGUAUUACUGUGCGAGAGACACAGUGACAGGAAGUCAGU